GUUCAAUCCUCUAAGUUCUCUCUCUCUCUCUCUCUCUCUCUCUCUCUCCCCUCAUUCUUCUUCUUUCCCAUCUCUCUUUCUUCCUUAGCUUUAGUUCUUUUUGGUGGUCAUUGAAGUUCUUGAAUCAGCAAGGUGGUCAUCUUGGCCUAGGUGGUGUCUCAAGAGGCUAGGUGGAACCAAGGGUGGUGACAAAUGCAAGUACACAUUAAGCCCAAGAAGUCGAGGGGAACUCGGAGUCGUGUUAGUUCCUCUGGUGAGCCCAAGGUGGAUCCAGCCCACAUCCCACGAUCUGGCCUUCAUUUGUCCUCUAUAGCUGGCAAGGGGUGUAUCUUUGUCCUUCAUUAAAUGUCACGGCGUUCGAGAGAAGUGGGAUGAAUGGUUUCCCGGCCGUCAGCGUUGCUUGGAUGAAUGAGAGAGGAUGGAUAAGGAAUACUUGAAAUGUGAAGGGAAAGGAGGUAUUUAUCGCCUCCCAACAUGGUUUUCAAUGUAAUUCUUGCAAACCCCAGGUUAAAAGGCUUUGGAUGGUAGAGAUUUGAGAUUGCCAUGUGACAAAACCUCAUGAGUUGAAUUGGAUGGCAUAUGGUGUAAUUUUGGGCUCAAGAAAGGGGUCUUAAGUCAUUUCAUUUUCUCAUACAUUUGGGUUUGUUUGAUUGGAUUGACUAAGUUUAUGGUCAGUUUGGAGGGUUUUGGAUUAA